rnacentral:rRNA from 1 species
UACGGGGGGGGCAAGCGUUGUUCGGAAUUACUGGGCGUAAAGGGCUCGUAGGCGGCCAACUAAGUCGGAUGUGAAAUCCCCAGGCUUAACUUGGGAACUGCAUCCGAUACUGGAUGGCUUGAAUCCGGGAGAGGGAUGCGGAAUUCCAGGUGUAGCGGUGAAAUGCGUAGAUAUCUGGAGGAACACCGGUGGCGAAGGCGGCAUCCUGGACCGGCAUUGACGCUGAUGAGCGAAAGCCAGGUGAGCAAACGGG